AUUGAACGCUGGCGGCAGGCCUAACACAUGCCAGUCGAGCGGAUGAAGGGAGCUUGCUCCUGGAUUCAGCGGCGGACGGGUGAGUAAUGCCUAGGAAUCUGCCUGGUAGUGGGGGAUAACGUCCGGAAACGGGCGCUAAUACCGCAUACGUCCUGAGGGGAAAGUGGGGGACCUUCGGACCUCACGCUAUCAGAUGAGCCUAGGUCGGAUUAGCUAGUUGGUGGGGUAAAGGCCUACCAAGGCGACGAUCCGUAACUGGUCUGAGAGGAUGAUCAGUCACACUGGAACUGAGACACGGUCCAGACUCCUACGGGAGGCAGCAGUGGGGAAUAUUGGACAAUGGGCGAAAGCCUGAUCCAGCCAUGCCGCGUGUGUGAAGAAGGUCUUCGGAUUGUAAAGCACUUUAAGUUGGGAGGAAGGGCAGUAAGUUAAUACCUUGCUGUUUUGACGUUACCAACAGAAUAAGCACCGGCUAACUUCGUG
rnacentral:rRNA from 1 species